UGUCUCGGUGCUCUUGAUGGGACAUACAUAGAUAUUUAUGUACAUGAUAUUGAUAAAGCUAGAUAUAGAACAAGGAAAGGCAACGUGGCUACAAAUAUGCUAGGAGUCUGUUCACAAGACGGCCAAUUCAUUUAUAUCCUUCCAGGAUGGGAGGGUUCUGCAACAGAUUCUAGAGUAUUACGUGAUGCUAUAUCUAGAAGAAAUGGGUUGCGGAUACCUCGAGGAUACUACUAUCUAUGUGAUGCUGGAUAUCCAAAUGGAGAGGGCCUUCUUACACCUUAUAGAUGCCAACGUUAUCAUCUUAGUGAGUGGCGAUCUGGAUGACACCCUGAUACACCGCAGGAGGUCUUUAAUUACA